AUGUCUGAAGAUUACCGCUGUACUCAAUCGAAUGAGGCAGCACUUGAGCAGAUGGUCCUUAGGGAUAUCAGGGAUCUGAUGCAAUCCAUGGGAAAGGAUAUUAAAAUGUAUGGGCUUCCGGAUUUGGUUGACACAGAUGGUUCUUCAGACGCCGAGUAUAGGGAGGUAAAAGAGGAGAGGCAAGUUAAAGCAGAUCAAGAACAUCUAGAUCUAUUCAACUACCUGAACAAUGAGCAACUGGCUGGUUUCAAUGACAUAAUGGAUCAUGUGACGAACCAAAAAAGCCAGAUAUUCUUUGUUGAUGGUCCUGGAGGCACUGGGAAGACAUACUUGUACAAGGCAUCCUUGAUAAUUUGGGAUGAAGUUGCUAUGACAAAGCAUUAA
rnacentral:rRNA from 1 species